AAAACUGGGUCGUGGGGAGCACAUGGGGAGCAAAACACAAAGACAGUCCAAUCCUGACACACCCCUAGUAACAAGGUAUAUUUCCUUCAUUACUAAAGAAGUGUCUUAUACUGAGGAAGCCCUUUUCCAUCACUGAAUAAAAAAGGUGUGACGUGUUCCCUUUUUAAUAAGUCAUUCCUUACAGCUGUGUCUUCCCAAGCAUCAUGUGUUUAAAAGCUCCAGUCAUUUCAGAUUGUGUUGUCGAUUAUACUUUUUGAAUUCCUCCUUGUUCCCGGUUUCCUGUGGAUUAUUAAAUAAUUUGAUAAUUUGAUUGAUCGUGUUACUCCAGCGACUCCUCGUUCCUCUCCUAUGGAUUAUGACACAUUAUCAAUGUCUUUACUGUCACUCUUGAAUG